GAUCCUGGCUCGGGAUGAACGCUAGCUACAGGCUUAACACAUGCAAGUCGGAGGGGCAGCAUGGUCUUAGCUUGCUAAGGCUGAUGGCGACCGGCGCACGGGUGAGUAACACGUAUCCAACCUGCCGUCUACUCUUGGCCAGCCUUCUGAAAGGAAGAUUAAAUCCAGGAUGGCAUCAUGAGUUCACAUGUCCGCAUGAUUAAAGGUAUUUUCCGGUAGACGAUGGGG
rnacentral:rRNA from 1 species